AUCCCUGAAUCGCGAGGAACGGCCCCUUGCGCAUCGGGCAAAUUAAAACUGAAGGAG
rnacentral:ncRNA from 1 species